CCUGUAUACAACAGGCCUUUGACAAUGACUUGUAAUCAGUAGGUCCCGGGUUCGAUUCCUGGUGCCGGCACCA
rnacentral:tRNA from 1 species